rnacentral:rRNA from 1 species
ACGAACGCUGGCGGCAUGCCUAACCCAUGCAAGUCGAACGAGACCUUCGGGUCUAGUGGCGCACGGGUGCGUAACGCGUGGGAAUCUGCCCUUGGGUUCGGAAUAACAGUUGGAAACGACUGCUAAUACCGGAUGAUGACGUAAGUCCAAAGAUUUAUCGCCCAAGGAUGAGCCCGCGUAGGAUUAGCUAGUUGGUGAGGUAAAGGCUCACCAAGGCGACGAUCCUUAGCUGGUCUGAGAGGAUGAUCAGCCACACUGGGACUGAGACACGGCCCAGACUCCUACGGGAGGCAGAAGUGGGGAAUAUUGGACAAUGGGCGAAAGCCUGAUCCAGCAAUGCCGCGUGAGUGAUGAAGGCCUUAGGGUUGUAAAGCUCUUUUACCCGGGAUGAUAAUGACAGUACCGGGAGAAUAAGCUCCGGCUAACUCCGUG